CACGUAGGGGGCAAGCGUUGUCCGGAUUUAUUGGGCGUAAGGAGCUCGUAGGCGGCUUAGUAAGUCGGGUGUGAAACCUCCAGGCUCAACCUGGAGACGCCACCCGAUACUGCUGUGGCUAGAGUCCGGUAGGGGAGCGUGGAAUUCCUGGUGUAGCGGUGAAAUGCGCAGAUAUCAGGAGGAACACCAGCGGCGAAGGCGGCGCUCUGGGCCGGUACUGACGCUGAGGAGCGAAAGCGUGGGGAGCAAACAGG
rnacentral:rRNA from 1 species